rnacentral:rRNA from 1 species
GUUGAACGCUGGCGGCAGGCCUAACACAUGCAAGUCGAACGGUAACAGGAAACAGCUUGCUGUUUCGCUGACGAGUGGCGGACGGGUGAGUAAUGUCUGGGAAACUGCCUGAUGGAGGGGGAUAACUACUGGAAACGGUAGCUAAUACCGCAUAACGUCGCAAGACCAAAGAGGGGGACCUUCGGGCCUCUUGCCAUCGGAUGUGCCCAGAUGGGAUUAGCUAGUAGGUGGGGUAACGGCUCACCUAGGCGACGAUCCCUAGCUGGUCUGAGAGGAUGACCAGCCACACUGGAACUGAGACACGGUCCAGACUCCUACGGGAGGCAGCAGUGGGGAAUAUUGCACAAUGGGCGCAAGCCUGAUGCAGCCAUGCCGCGUGUAUGAAGAAGGCCUUCGGGUUGUAAAGUACUUUCAGCGGGGAUGAAGGGAGUAAAGUUAAUACCUUUGCUCAUUGACGUUACCCGCAGAAGAAGCACCGGCUAACUCCGUG